GAUGAACGCUGGCGGCGUGCCUAAUACAUGCAAGUCGAGCGAACGGACGAGACUCUUGCUUCUCUCAUGUUAGCGGCGGACGGGUGUGUAACACGUGUAUCACCUACCUAUAUGACUGGUAUAACUUCGGGAAACCGUAUCUUAUCCCGGAUAAUCUUCUGCACCGCAUUGUUCAAUAGUGAAAGACGGUCUUUCUGUCACUUCUAGCUGCAUCCGAGCUGCAUUAGCUAGUUGGUAAGGUAACGGCUUUCCACGGCGACGAUGCAUAGCCGACCUGAGAGGGUGAUCGGCGGCACUGGAAGGGAGACACGGACAAGAGGACUACGGGAGGCAGCAGUAGGGAAUCGUACGCAAUGGGCGAAAGCCUGACGGAGCAACGCCGAGUGAGAGAUGAAGGUGUUCGGAUCGUAAAGCUCGGUUAUGAGGGAAGAACAGAUGUGGAAGUAAAUGUGCACAGAGUGACGGUACCUAAUCAGAAAGCAACGGCUAACUACGUG
rnacentral:rRNA from 1 species